UUGGAACUCUGUUUUCCCACAGUGGAUUAUUUUGUGGAGGUAUCAAAUCUGGACUAGCUGUGCUACACAACAGUGAGUGAUCAUGGAGCUGUUUAUCCCACUAGCUUACCAGAUAAGAGCAGGUGAUUUGUGACAAUCAUUAAUUUUAGAAUGGUGCCAUUCAUCAAGACAAGUGACAAUUAAAGAAGACCAGGUUUAUUACAAUAAAUACCACUGAAUGCCUACCAUGGGCCAAGCACUGAGGAUUCUGAAAGAAAGAUAGUGCACAUCAAUUGAUGGCCUAAAG
rnacentral:lncRNA from 1 species